rnacentral:lncRNA from 1 species
GAUGAGCAAGAAAUACACUUCCAAAUGUAAAGAGAGUUUGUUAUCCAAAGAGUGGCAGGCAGGUCCUUGGAUUUUGUUAUGGCAUUAGGCAUCACAACUGCAACUACAUUCUGUUUGGUAUGAGUAUUGAACCUGUCAUGUCCGGUUUCUUGAGCAAUCCUCAGCCUAGAAUAACAUGACAGCUAGCAUCCUCAGAAAGAUCCCAGUAUGUAUUCAGACUGUCUAAAAAGAGUUUUAGGGUCUGGGUGUAUCUGUACUGGACAUAAACAGGACAGCUGAGCAUAUUUACUUCACUGUGUCCUAAGUGUUCCUCAUGCCAGCAGAAAGAUCAGAAACAAUGUUGUCAAGAUUCCCUCAAGGAGAGUUUGGGACAUGUUGACACAUUUAUGGAAUGCUGGGAGGAAUAGAUACCAACUUGUCAGCUUUAAGAGCGGCUUAUUUUAUGCCAAGGUACUAGUGAUUGUGACAGUAUUGUCUUAAAUAUUAUAGACCUGCUAUGAAUCAGAGCUGUUGUCCUGUGGGUGCAUUGGGAGAGAAGGCCCAGAUAAAUUUAGGGCCAGCAAAAUUGUUCUUAUAGCCGGGCAUGGUGGCACACACCUUUAAUCCCAGCACUUGGAAGGCAGAGGCAGGCGGAUUUCUGAGUUCAGUUCGAGGACAGCCAAGGCUAUACAGAGAAACCGUUUCUGUCUCAGGGGAAAAAAAUUGUUUUUAUGACUUCAAAAAAGAUAAACUAAUUCUAGGCAAGACUUUUGAUACUAAUUAAAAUUAAUAUGAGCACUUAUUGACUUCGGAAUCAAGUGUCACUAGUAAUGGUACUAUUCAGAAUAGCAUACUUUAAUUAAAUCUUAGAUUGUCAAAUUAGAGAGCCAUUUCCAUAAUAGCUGUUAACCAUGAGUACCAGCAUCAAUUUUGGGGCAGGUAGAAUGAACUUUAUUCUUCUUCUAUGUGUGUAGGUUUUGUUUUUGUUUUUGUUUUCUGCAUGUUGGUUUGCACCCCAUGCAUGCCUGGUGCCCUCAGAGGCCAGAAGAGGACAUCAGAUAUGCUGGAAUUGCAGUUAGAGUUUACAGUUAUAAGUGCUGAGAAUCAAACCUCAGGUCCUCUGGAAGAGCAACCCCUGAACCAUCUCUAGCCCUGGCUAGAGAACUUCAGAAAGAGAAUAUCAACAUGCAGGUUCACAUGGAACUUCAGGUUAAUGGGUAGGCUGUGUAAAUGACUUGCUUGUGCAGCUUAGUGAGCAAGUAUAAAUCAGCAUUUUUCUUGAUUUAAUUUUACCAAAUUGAAAACGGAAAGCAUGUAUAAUUAUGCUUGGUUAUAUAGAGAAAAAGGCUUGCUUAGUAUAGUCCUAUUCCUGGUAAAUAAAGGGUUUGGGGUUUUUGUUUGUUUGUUUGUUUUUGUUUUGUUUGUUUUGUUUGUUUGGGGGUUGGUUUUUUUUUUUUGGUUUGUUUUUUUUUUUUUUUUCCUAAAAGGGAAAUGGAGAGGGAAUUUGCAAGUGCGGUGAUCUGAGAUCAACAAAACCUCUUACAUGGGAUGCCUUCCAUAGGUAUUAUAUAAAGCUCAGUUCCACCUUACUUCCAGGUAGUGUUGUGAUUUCCAUGACCACAAACAAUCUAACUUAUUUAUCUACCUGUCUAUUCUAUCUAUUGUUCGUACUUUCUGAAAAAUUGAACCUUGUACGUGGUGGCAAGCAUUCCACCAACAGAACUACACCUUAGCAUUAAUUUAUUUUUAAAAUAUAAAGCUAGAAAUUAACACCUGAUUUUAUGUCCUGGGUAAUGUAUUUUGUGACCAGAUCAGGAGGAAAAAUAAAAUUCAUUUCAUAGUACUAAAUAGAUAUUUUGCACGUGUGAAUUUUAUUGAUUUUGGUUUCUUAAAUGGAGUGUUUAAGUAAUUGUUUAUUAUACUGCUCUGUUUUUUAUAAAAGCAGGCUGUUUUAAUUACUAUCAUGAGAUAAUAAUUCACCAUCUUAAUUAUAUUUUCAGCAUUUACGGAGCAGGUACAUAGUUAAUUUGAAUGGCUUUUUAAGAAGGAGGAUAUUUUUCUUUUGAAGUACUUUAUUCUAUAAUUUGCUACUAAGCCUGUGUUAAAAAUUACUCUCUGCUUCCUCUUACUUCCAUUUCUUCCCUUUUGGGCCACAUAGGAGAAGCAAAUUCUUGCUUCAGCCAGUAGAAGCUCUACUCCCAUAGUGUUUACCUACUUGGCAUGACGCAGGCCCACCUACACACAUUCUAAGGUGUUUCAGUGAAAGAGCACUGAACAGACAGCUCUGUGCAAUGUGUGUGGUUCCCAGUACAAUGGGCAGAUGCCUUCUCCUACCUGUAUUUUAUCCUCUGACCGAGGUGGUGUAGCGUGUGGCUGUGGUGAUAGCAACAGAAGUAAAAGGUGGGUUCUCUGGGGCUUCAUUCUGAGGCUUAGGGUAAAGGUAAACUUGCAAGAGGGAAUUAACUGAAGCAUAAUCAGACUGCUUUUAAUUGCUACUCUUUUCAUACUUAGCUUUAGAAUUUGUGUUAUAUAUGAUUAAAUUUCCUUCUGUCUUAGGACAAAAGUUGGAUAAAUCUCAAAUCCAAAGUUUCUGUGUUUUUAGAAUUUAACUCCUAUCAGCAGUGAAAAAAGCCUGAGAACUAUACUGACCGCAGGUGUUAUGGCCUGUUAAUUAUACACCAGCAGGAAAUGGAAAGCUGUUCUCAUUUUUAAUGUUUGAAGACUAGCCUACAGUACUUAGUUUUAAUGUUGUUAAUCAAUAUUUUCCUUCCAAGUUUGAGAAUUGUGUUGUUCUCUGAAGAAGUUUAUUUAGUAGAUAGAGCAUUGUGCAUUGGUCAGCUCUGCUUUACAGCAAUUUAAGUAGUGCUUCUAUCUCAAUAUCCUAAUUUGCGAUUAUGGUAAAGAGAUUGAAUAGUGUUAUAUCUAAUCGAUUUUUAACCACAGGGAAGCUUUCCACCAAAAAGUAACAAUAAUUGUUUCCCAUCAGGGUUCUGUUUUCACC